rnacentral:rRNA from 1 species
UACGAAGGGGGCUAGCGUUGUUCGGAAUCACUGGGCGUAAAGGGCGCGUAGGCGGCCUGAUAAGUAGGGGGUGAAAUCCUGCGGCUUAACCGCAGGGCUGCCUUCUAAACUGUCAGGCUAGAGCACAGUAGAGGCAGGUGGAAUUCCCGGUGUAGCGGUGGAAUGCGUAGAGAUCGGGAAGAACAUCAGUGGCGAAGGCGGCCUGCUGGGCUGUUGCUGACGCUGAGGCGCGACAGCGUGGGGAGCAAACAGG